GGCUUUGUAGUGUAGCGGUUAUCACUUGAGAUUCUGAUGUGGCAUGUAGACUGCCAAUGUUCUCAAAACCCAGGUUCGAGUCCUGGCAAGGCCU